rnacentral:rRNA from 1 species
CCUACGGGUGGCAGCAGUGAGGAAUAUUGGUCAAUGGACGAGAGUCUGAACCAGCCAAGUAGCGUGAAGGAUGACUGCCCUAUGGGUUGUAAACUUCUUUUAUAUGGGAAUAAAAUGUUCCACGUGUGGGAUUUUGUAUGUACCAUAUGAAUAAGGAUCGGCUAACUCCGUGCCAGCAGCCGCGGUAAUACGGAGGAUCCGAGCGUUAUCCGGAUUUAUUGGGUUUAAAGGGAGCGUAGGUGGAUUCUUAAGCCAGGUGGGAAAGUUUGCGGCUCAACCGUAAAAUUGCAGUUGAAACUGGCAGUCUUGAGUGCAGUAGAGGUGGGCGGAAUUCGUGGUGUAGCGGUGAAAUGCUUAGAUAUCACGAAGAACUCCGAUUGCGAAGGCAGCUCACUGGACUGCAACUGACACUGAGGCUCGAAAGUGUGGGUAUCAAACAGGAUUAGAUACCCUAGUAGUC